rnacentral:lncRNA from 1 species
CGCAGCCCGGGGCGCCUCCGCCCAAGCUGACUGCUCUCUCUUCUCUCUCUCCGAUCCCGGCAGGCCCCCAGAGGUGAUUCUGCCUGCAUGACGUCCUCCGUUCCGGAGGCGAGCUCGCCGCAUGCGCCACAUCAGGAUCAAAAAUAGAAAGAAAAAAAAAGAAGAAAAGAAGAAGCGGAAGAAGCUGCGGAGGCGGCGGAGGCGGCAAGGAGGAGGGGCCUCGCGCAGCGAUGGAGGAGGCAGCGGGGACGUGGGGACGCGACUUUGUGUAGGCGGGUCGUGGGGCGCCCAUGGCGGAGUGUGGCCCGGGCGCCACAGGUGGGGCCCUGCCCACCUCCCCCGGCCGGGCCCUCAGCGCCAAUGGCGCCCUGAUAGCGGGAGCCCGAGAAGGCGCGGUAGCGCCAAGGGCGGUCGCCUUAGCCAAGGUCUGGCGCGCUAUGACAGCGGCGGGGUUUCCCACAGAGACUACAGACUCGCAGUGUCGGGGGACAAAAGUCCGGGCCAGCCCUGCCAGGGAACCUCGAGGCAUGGUGCUCUGGCCGACCCCUAGCCGGGUCGCUGGUCUGGUCCCCAGGGACAGCAAGCUGAGCGGCCUGUGAGCAGCAGCAGCGUCAAGCAUCAGGCACUUCCAGCUCCUGCGUGAACGGACUCCAUAGAAGAACAAUAUAAAGAUUUUGCUGUAUGAGAACAAAAAACUGAUGGUGGAGCAGACUGUUCUGCCAGCAUCCUGUGUGGAGGCAAAGAGGUUCUGUGAAGAGGCCGGAAUGAACAUCUGUGUCCCCAGAGCCAAGCAGUUGCAGGUCCAGCAAGUAUCUGCAUAGCAAGAUUUCCUGAAGUGGAAAUGAGUACAGGCCAGGGCAGCACAGCCUGCUUGACUGUAAGAGACUUGUACAUAACAUAGCUCCCACUAAUUCUUCAUUCAACAGAAAACCUGCUGGAUAAAAGGUAUGCAUGCCUCCACUGACAUUACACUCAUCUAAUGACCAGAAUAAGGAAGGAUUAGAGGAAACAAUGCAGGACACUCUGAAGCAGAGAGAACUGAUCACCCAGGAAAGUGACUUGGGAGAAACAGUGUAGAAGAAUUGUGACAUCUUUGAGAUCAGGUCUAAAAUUCUCCAGCGAAACUCGAACAUGGCAUAGACCAGAACAAGAUCUCCCUUGGAGAGCAGUGCCACAGGAGGAGUCUAAGUGUGCACAACAAAUACACCACUAUUACAUCGCAUCCUUAAUAUCCAUAGCAGUUGUGGGCUGCAUUUUCCUACUUUAGUUUGAUUUCUUUGGAUUGAAUAGGCCAUACUUUCAUCUCGGCUCUCCCGAGCAAGCGUGCACAUUUGAAGAAGCGUGCACAGAGAAGAGCUGAUGCACAUCAAUCGAGAACUGCUGAGCAUCCAGGAAGAGUGUGCACAUGUACAUUUGUACUUGUCCUGAAGGGUCACCCAGAAGAGUUUCAUGGAGAUCAGUCCACAACAUUGGAAAAACUUUGAGUCAAAGACUGUCAUAUGUUUUAUACUCAGUAUUGGAUGGCUUUGUCCUUCAUACCCUCACUCCAACAAGGCAGACCUACUUACAUUCCCCUUGAAAAGAUUAUUACCAUCAGUAACUGCUUGUCUACUGUGUUUCCAAGGCAAGUCAUUGGCUAUAAGUCAAUUCUGCAAACGAG